GAGGAAAAGAAACCAACAGGGAUUGCCCCAGUAAUGGCGAAUGAAGCGGCAAGAGCCCAAAUUUGAAAUCGGGCAACCGAGUUGUAAUUUGGAGACGGGACACUAGAGAGGAGGAAGGCGAUUAAGUGCCUUGGAACAGGCUGCCGUAGAGGGUGAGAGCCCCGUGAAUCGCUGGAGACCGAUCAAUUAGUGCCCGCCGAAGAGUCGAGUUGUUUGGGAAUGCAGCUCUAAGUGGGUGGUAUAUUCCAUCUAAGGCUAAAUAUUAGCGAGAGACCGAUAGCAAACAAGUACAGUGAUGGAAAGAUGAAAAGAACUUUGGAAAGAGAGUGAAAUAGUACGUGAAAUUGUUGAAAGGGAAGGGUAUUUGAUCCGACAUGGUGUUUAGCAGCGGCCCGUUCCUCGUGGAUGGGUGCACCUGGUUUACACUGGGCCAGCAUCGGUUCUGGGAGCCAUAUACGGGGUUCGUGAAUGUGGCCCUUCGAUUCUGUCGGAGGGUGUUAUAGCGCGGACAUCUUGUGGCUAGCCGGGACCGGGGACUGCGGUGACUUGUCACCAAGGAUGCUGGCAGAACGAGCAAAUACCACCCGUCUUGA
rnacentral:rRNA from 1 species